rnacentral:Y_RNA from 1 species
UUGGCGAAUGCCUGGGGAACUACAUUAGCUAUUGGUUGCAGGUUCGAUUCCUGCCCGGCUUUUCACGGUGCCGGUGGCUCAGUGGUAGAGCAAUAGACAUCGUGUUUCUCAAAAAACCUUGUCGCCAAAUU